AUGUUUGCCGGAGUUGAACGAAUGUUUCGGGGAUUCAGACAUGUGCCGAGACUAUGGAGGAAUCUAAUUUUGCUUGGAGUCCUUCAUGAUGGUGGUAUGAUAUUCCGUUGUGAUCGGGAUAGGAAGACCAUGAAAAUCAUGGAAGAUGAGGUGACCGUUAUGAUUGGAGCGAGGACGGCUUCACAUCUUUACAAGUUACAAGGGAUCACUAUUGCAGGUGGAGUAACGAAGACUGGAGUUGCGGGAGUAGCAACGGGGUCUCAUGGUGGCAGUGGGUCUAGGGAAGACUUGUCGAGUAGCUCUCAGUAA
rnacentral:rRNA from 1 species